rnacentral:lncRNA from 1 species
ACUUGGGCGUUGGACCCCGCAUCUUAUUAGCAACCAGGGAGAUUUCUCCAUUUUCCUCUUGUCUACAGUGCGGCUACAAAUCUGGGAUUUUUUUUUAUUACUUCUUUUUUUAAAAAAACUACACUUGGGCUCCUUUUUUGUGCUCGACUUUUCCACCUUUUUCCCUCCUUCCUGCGCUGCUGCUUUUUUGAUCUCUUCGACUAAAAAUUUUUUAUCCGGAGUAUUUAAUCGGGUCUCUUCUGUCCUCCUCGCCACCCCCACCCCCUCCCUCCGGUGUGUGUGCCGCCGCCGCUGUUGCUGCUGCUGCUGCUCGCCCCGUCGUUACACCAACCGAAGGCUCUUUGUUUCCUCUCUUGGAUCUGUUGAGUUUCUUUGUUGAAGAAGCCAGCAUGGGUGCCCAGUUCUCCAAGACCGCAGCGAAGGGAGAAGCCACCGCCGAGAGGCCCGGGGAGGCGGCUGUGGCCUCGUCGCCUUCCAAAGCAAAUGGGCAGGUAAAUUCUACCUGUGGUUCUUGGCAUUUCUUGGGUGUCUUUCUCUAAUCUGGACGCCUCGUCUUCCCUCUGGUCGCGCCCGAGAUGCAUUCGAGGGAGGGGAGCCUAGCCAGAUUCUAGUCUGAAAGUUGAAUGGGUAAUGAUAGCCUAAAUUGUCAAUUUUUCAUAGGAAGGGUACCCUCCACCCCCACCCCAAAGGAGUGGUUCCUAAGGAUCCUGGCCAAUUCUUGAGUAGACCGGAGGAAGAGUGAUAAAUCGUCUAAAAUGGCGUGGUUUGGAGAUUGGCUGAACGUGACUAGUUAGAUGCACCCCCCCCCCAACGCCCCUCCAGGUUGCAUUUGUAUUUGGGGCCACAGUGGUGUUUGGGUGGCUCACGUAUUUAUUGUCGAGAUUGGGUCGUCUUUGAGAUUUCUGGUGUGGUUGUGUGUGUGCGCGCGCGUGUGUAUGUGUGUGUAGGAAGGGGGGAGCCAACGCGGAUGGCGGUGGAGAAAGGCAAGCUGAGAAGGCUUGUCUUAUUGUAUCCAGAGGCAGUAUGCCUCGGGUUCUUGGAAAGGUGGCUGGUUAGAGCCGGACAGGCAGCUUUUCCAAGUGCCUUUGCGAUGGCCCUUCCCCUCCCCCUUUGGUAGCUGUGUAAUUACACACCCAUAUGACUUUUCAAAUGGUAUCCUGGUGUGGUGGGAAUUCUCAGUGGGUUUUUGAAGACCCUUUCCUGCCUGCCAAGAAGGGAGCAGUUCUGGUGUUUUGGUCUGGACUGUUCGUGUGAGUGGCACCUUGGCCACCCUCGAGGAUUGCCUCAGUGCUGCUGCGACCCAGGCAGAGAGCCAUGGUUGGGUGGGCUCAAGAGGUCGGCCAUGGGUGGCUGCUUUCCAAACAGCGAGCACCCACCACGCCUCUUUUCCUAGAGCC